rnacentral:rRNA from 1 species
GACGAACCGUGCGAACGUUAUUCGGAAUCACUGGGCUUAAAGCGCCGUGUAGGCGGAUGGGAACGUCGGUAGUUGAAAGCCCCCGGCUCAACCGGGGAAGUGGUGCCGAAACGACCCGUCUGGAGGGACGUAGGGGGACCUGGAACUUCCGGUGGGAGCCGGUGAAAUGCGUUGAUAUUCACAGGAACUCCGGUGGCGAAGGCGGCUCGCUGGAUCUUUUCUGACGCUGAGGCGCGA